rnacentral:rRNA from 1 species
GAUGAACGCUGGCGGCGUGCCUAAUACAUGCAAGUCGAGCGAACGGACGAGAAGCUUGCUUCUCUGAUGUUAGCGGCGGACGGGUGAGUAACACGUGGAUAACCUACCUAUAAGACUGGGAUAACUUCGGGAAACCGGAGCUAAUACCGGAUAAUAUUUUGAACCGCAUGGUUCAAAAGUGAAAGACGGUCUUGCUGUCACUUAUAGAUGGAUCCGCGCUGCAUUAGCUAGUUGGUAAGGUAACGGCUUACCAAGGCAACGAUGCAUAGCCGACCUGAGAGGGUGAUCGGCCACACUGGAACUGACACACGGUCCAGACUCCUACGGGAGGCAGCAGUAGGGAAUCUUCCGCAAUGGGCGAAAGCCUGACGGAGCAACGCCGCGUGAGUGAUGAAGGUCUUCGGAUCGUAAAACUCUGUUAUUAGGGAAGAACAUAUGUGUAAGUAACUGUGCACAUCUUGACGGUACCUAAUCAGAAAGCCACGGCUAACUACGUGCCACCAGCCGCGGUAAUACGUAGGUGGCAAGCGUUAUCCGGAAUUAUUGGGCGUAAAGCGCGCGUAGGCGGUUUUUUAAGUCUGAUGUGAAAGCCCACGGCUCAACCGUGGAGGGUCAUUGGAAACUGGAAAACUUGAGUGCAGAAGAGGAAAGUGGAAUUCCAUGUGUAGCGGUGAAAUGCGCAGAGAUAUGGAGGAACACCAGUGGCGAAGGCGACUUUCUGGUCUGUAACUGACGCUGAUGUGCGAAAGCGUGGGGAUCAAACAGGAUUAGAUACCCUGGUAGUCCACGCCGUAAACGAUGAGUGCUAAGUGUUAGGGGGUUUCCGCCCCUUAGUGCUGCAGCUAACGCAUUAAGCACUCCGCCUGGGGAGUACGACCGCAAGGUUGAAACUCAAAGGAAUUGACGGGGACCCGCACAAGCGGUGGAGCAUGUGGUUUAAUUCGAAGCAACGCGAAGAACCUUACCAAAUCUUGACAUCCUUUGACAACUCUAGAGAUAGAGCCUUCCCCUUCGGGGGACAAAGUGACAGGUGGUGCAUGGUUGUCGUCAGCUCGUGUCGUGAGAUGUUGGGUUAAGUCCCGCAACGAGCGCAACCCUUAAGCUUAGUUGCCAUCAUUAAGUUGGGCACUCUAAGAUGACUGCCGGUGACAAACCGGAGGAAGGUGGGGAUGACGUCAAAUCAUCAUGCCCCUUAUGAUCUGGGCUACACACGUGCUACAAUGGACAAUACAAAGGGCAGCGAAACCGCGAGGUCAAGCAAAUCCCAUAAAGUUGUUCUCAGUUCGGAUUGUAGUCUGCAACUCGACUACACGAAGCUGGAAUCGCUAGUAAUCGUAGAUCAGCAUGAUACGGUGAAUACGUUCCCGGGUCU